rnacentral:rRNA from 1 species
CAUGCAAGUCUCUUGAUCCUUCGGGUGAAGGUGGCGGACGGGUGAGUAACGCGUAAAGAACUUGCCUUACAGACUGGGACAACAUUUGGAAACGAAUGCUAAUACCGGAUAUUAUGACUGAGUCGCAUGAUUUGGUUAUGAAAGCUAUAUGCGCUGUGAGAGAGCUUUGCGUCCCAUUAGUUAGUUGGUGAGGUAACGGCUCACCAAGACGAUGAUGGGUAGCCGGCCUGAGAGGGUGAACGGCCACAAGGGGACUGAGACACGGCCCUUACUCCUACGGGAGGCAGCAGUGGGGAAUAUUGGACAAUGGACCAAAAGUCUGAUCCAGCAAUUCUGUGUGCACGAUGAAGUUUUUCGGAAUGUAAAGUGCUUUCAGUUGGGAAGAAGUCAGUGACGGUACCAACAGAAGAAGCGACGGCUAAAUACGUGCCAGCAGCCGCGGUAAUACGUAUGUCGCAAGCGUUAUCCGGAUUUAUUGGGCGUAAAGCGCGUCUAGGCGGUUUAGUAAGUCUGAUGGGAAAAUGCGGGGCUCAACCCCGUAUUGCGUUGGAAACUGUUAAACUAGAGUACUGGAGAGGUAGGCGGAACUACAAGUGUAGAGGUGAAAUUCGUAGAUAUUUGUAGGAAUGCCGAUGGGGAAGCCAGCCUACUGGACAGAUACUGACGCUAAAGCGCGAAAGCGUGGGUAGCAAACAGGAUUAGAUACCCUGGUAGUCCACGCCGUAAACGAUGAUUACUAGGUGUUGGGGGUCGAACCUCAGCGCCCAAGCUAACGCGAUAAGUAAUCCGCCUGGGGAGUACGUACGCAAGUAUGAAACUCAAAGGAAUUGACGGGGACCCGCACAAGCGGUGGAGCAUGUGGUUUAAUUCGACGCAACGCGAGGAACCUUACCAGCGUUUGACAUCCCAAGAAGUUAACAGAGAUGUUUUCGUGCCUCUUCGGAGGAACUUGGUGACAGGUGGUGCAUGGCUGUCGUCAGCUCGUGUCGUGAGAUGUUGGGUUAAGUCCCGCAACGAGCGCAACCCCUUUCGUAUGUUACCAUCAUUAAGUUGGGGACUCAUGCGAGACUGCCUGCGAUGAGCAGGAGGAAGGUGGGGAUGACGUCAAGUCAUCAUGCCCCUUAUACGCUGGGCUACACACGUGCUACAAUGGGUAGUACAGAGAGCUGCAAACCUGCGAGGGUAAGCUAAUCUCAUAAAACUAUUCUUAGUUCGGAUUGUACUCUGCAACUCGAGUACAUGAAGUUGGAAUCGCUAGUAAUCGCAAAUCAGCUAUGUUGCGGUGAAUACGUUCUCGGGUCUUGUACACACCGCCCGUCACACCACGAGAGUUGGUUGCACCUGAAGUAACAGGCCUAACCGUAAGGAGGGAUUUCCGANGGUGU